CCUACGGGAGGCAGCAGUGAGGAAUAUUGGUCAAUGGCCGGAAGGCUGAACCAGCCAAGUCGCGUGAGGGACGACUGCCCUAUGGGUUGUAAACCUCUUUUAUAAGGGAAGAAUAAAUGCUACGUGUAGCAUGAUGCCUGUACCUUAUGAAUAAGCAUCGGCUAACUCCGUGCCAGCAGCCGCGGUAAUACGGGGGAUGCGAGCGUUAUCCGGUUUUAUUGGGGUUAAAGGGUGCGUAGGCGGUGUUCUACGAUAGUGGUAAAACGUCGGGGCUUCACCUUGAUUUGCCAUUAAUACUGUAAGACUCGAGUUCAGACGAGGUAGGCGGAAUAAGUUAAGUAGCGGUGAAAUGCUUAGAUAUAACUUAGAACUCCGAUAGCGAAGGCAGCUUACCAGACUGCGACUGACGCUGAAGCACGAGAGCGUGGGGAGCGAACAGGAUUAGAUACCCUGGUAGUC
rnacentral:rRNA from 1 species